CGAACCCCCACUUCGAAUCGUUGAACACAUACCUGCAACAAAAUAGCAAUACAGUCUUGACGUUCGCCCUCAUAUCACAAUAUCAGUCACCUUUAAUCUGCUGUUUUUCUCUUUGUAAUUACACUCAUUUUGCAAUAAUUAACUUGUAGGUUUACAGUAUUAAGAAAAUUGAUGAAAUAUCAUUGAACUGACUGCAGAUACGCAUUGAAUCACUCAAUAACGAUUUUCACAUCUCAAUAUUGCUUGCAUCUAAUGGAAAAUGAUGAAAAAUUGAUCUUAAGAUAAAAUAAACUACAAAAUGUUGGAUUAUUAUUAUUGAAUAUCUUCGUAUCCAUCAGGUUAAUUGAAAUAUUUGUAGAAUGAAUUCAUUUUCUCCUUGACUUCAAAAUACUUGAUCUACCUCAAGGGUAACAUUUGUAUGCUACCAAUUACUCCAGAGACAGCUUGAUUGUUUCGUACGCACGCAAUGUUCAACAUAAGCACUCGAGUUCAUCCAUUUUGCACGUGAUCCUGUGAAUACAAUUUUAUGACGAUUAUCCUGCAAGAUGUCUCACUCUAUUUCAGCCAUUACUAGGAACUUUCAAGGAUGUCUGGAUGCAUUUAUUUUUUCUUAGACAUUUGUUGGUUCACAUUAACAACACUAAAAUUAAAAUAAAACGAUAUAAAAAUAAUAUUUUGAUACCUGUCAUAUGCUGGCGAUGUUGGAGAUCAGACAAAAUUUUAUCUUAAGUCAAGCAAUCAUUAUUGGAAUAAUGCACGAAAAUCCGGUUGAUUAUAAAUUUGAAGUUGAUUAAGUUGAAAAAAUAUAUUCAAUUGCUUCAAUUAUAAUAAAUGAAAUGCUAUUUAUAUACUUCAAUUUCAUUCAAGU
rnacentral:lncRNA from 1 species